rnacentral:tRNA from 1 species
UUGGGGGCUCAUUUGGUAGAGUGCAUGCCUUGCAUGCACAAGGUCCUGGGUUCGAUCCCAAGCACCAAA